rnacentral:rRNA from 1 species
UACAGAGGGGGCAAGCGUUGUUCGGAAUUACUGGGCGUAAAGGGCGCGUAGGCGGCCUUCUAAGUCAGACGUGAAAUCCCUCGGCUCAACCGGGGAACUGCGUCUGAGACUGGAAGGCUUGAAUCCGGGAGAGGGAUGUGGAAUUCCAGGUGUAGCGGUGAAAUGCGUAGAUAUCGGAAGGAACAUCAGUGGCGAAAGCGGCUUCCUGGACCAGUACCGACGUUCAGGCACGAAAGCCAGGGGAGCAAACGGG